GAUGAAGAACGUAGCGAAAUGCGAUACGUAGUGUGAAUUGCAGAAUUCAGUGAAUCAUCGAAUCUUUGAACGCACAUUGCACCUCUCGGUAUUCCGGGAGGUAUGCCUGUUCGAGCGUCAUUUGUACCCUCAAGCUCUGCUUGGUGUUGGGUGUUUGUUCCGCCUCUGCGUGUAGACUCGCCUUAAAACAAUUGGCAGCCGGCGUAUUGAUUUCGGAGCGCAGUACAUCUCGCGCUUUGCACUCAUAACGACGACGUCCAAAAGUACAUUUUUACACUCUUGACCUCGGAUCAGGUAGGGAUACCCGCUGAACUUAAGCAUAUCAAUAAGCGGAGGA
rnacentral:misc_RNA from 1 species